AACGUAGGAGACAAACGUUAUCCGGAGUUACUGGGCGUAAAGGGCGUGUAGGUGGUUUCGUAAGUCUGGCGUGAAAUUUCUCGGCUUAACCGAGGCAGGUCGUCGGAUACUGCGGAACUUGAGGACGGUAGAGGCGAGUGGAAUUCCGAGUGUAGAGGUGAAAUUCGUAGAUAUUCGGAAGAACACCAGUGGCGAAGGCGACUCGCUGGACAGGUAUUGACGCUGAGGUGCGAAAGCGUGGGGAGCAAACAGG
rnacentral:rRNA from 1 species